AUAAUUUUUUACAUAGUAUCUUUUUCUUGGUUUUUUAUAUUUAUAUUUUGAUUUUUUAUAUUUCUUAUAUUUCUUAUGUCUUUUUCUUUUCUUAUAAUAUCUUUCUUCGCAUCCAAAUUGCGGUGCUAUUUUAUUUUUGCAACAAGCUAAAUUUCUUAUUAAUGUUUUUUCCAUUUUUAAUUCUUCUCUAUAUUUUUCACAUAAGUUUCUAUACCAUUGUUGUGUGUUAUAUAGAUGAAUAUACUUGCGCAUUUAAAGAAUAUUAUUACAAAGGAGCAUAUAGUAUAGAAGAAAGUAAAGAAAUAAGAAAAUUAUAUUUUAAUAAAUUACCCGAGCCAUUUAGUUACAAAAUAAAGUUAAUCAAUGACUUACCAAUAAAGCAUUAAGCCAGAAUGAGGACCGUGUAAAACUAUAAUGUAUUUAAUUUUUUUUCAUUUUUCUGUUACUUGGUACAUUUGUCAUUGGACAAAAUAGGUUGCUUGUUGAUUCAGUUAAAUUUUAUAUAGUAUCAGUUCGAUUUGUAAGUUAUCGAUUUGUAAAUGUAUUAAAUCAAUAAUCAAUUGUUCCUUCAUUUGUCAAUUUAUUAUUAAUUAGCAGUCAAUCAAUUAUUGGGUUCUUCAUUUAUUUAUCGAUUUAAUCGAUAAUAAAAUGCUUCUUCAAUUAAUUUUUUUAUUUACCUAAACAAAAUACUUCUAUAGUUAUAUUCAUCCUUAAUCGAAUUCUGCAGGUUUUUUCAUAAAAAGUGGAAGACGGAGACAGUUCAAAAAUUGAAAGAAAAACAACCAACAAGCUAUAAAAUAAAGUUGAAGCUAUAUACUCUAUUUUAAUGUAAACAUCAUUAAAACGAAAUGUUAUAUACUGUAUCUUAUUGGUCCUUCAUUAAUGUUUCAUUUAAAGUUCGGAAUUUAAGAAAAUACUACUUGCAUUGAAGCUAAAAGUUGAAUAUUUAUAAUAUUUUUAAAUGAAAAUCUCAAAAAGUUUUUAUUUUUGCAAAGUCUUAUACACACAUAUAUAAGCUUAAAUUCACAAAAAGCAUUUCUAAUACUAUAAUAUAUAUCCUUUACACACACAUAUAUAGAGAGAGAAAAGAUAGCGUAGCACCACUCUAUGGCCUCCAAACCUAUUUAUCUACUUUUUUCUUUUUUUGAACAUUUCUCUUAUUUCAGUCUAUUUUUCAUGUAAAUUAAUACUCUAUAUUUUUCAUUUAUUUGAAAGUAAUGACAUACUCAUUGUUAAAUGUCAUGUUAAAAUAUCCAACGUAGCUUUCUUAUUUCUUCUAAUAAAUUCUAUCUUUUACUCUUCCCUUCUUUAAUGUAUUAGAUGACACCACAAAUGUCAAAUUGAUCCUCUCAUUCUUCAUCGUUCUCUUCAUCUUCCUCUUCUUCAUUGUAAUAUAGUACUCUAUUAGAUAAGCUAGACAUAUUCACCUAUAUGCUAUUACAAACAAAUCAAAAGUUACUCAACAUUAACCACCAUUUAUUGUGUUUUUCUCUCUUUAAUAAAAUUUCAAUCAUGACCAUUAAAAAAACCUUUAAGGUCUUUAACUUAUAAAAAAUCAUCUAAUAUUGUCGAGUAAUUAAUCUAUUAAAAUGGAAAAGAUACCCCAUAUAAUGAAAAAUGAAACUUUAGUUUUCCAAACCUUUCAUUUUCCAACACUAUAUGUACGUUUACUACAACUCUUGCCUUUUCAUUUUCCCUACUACAUGAAGUAAACAAUGGCUUUGCCUUCUUAUAAAAAGGAUUAUGCCAAAAAGUGUUUGAGUCAACCUUAUGCAACAAUAACAAUUAACAAUUAAUCUUCAUAUAUUAAAGCUCUAUCUAUGAAUGUGUUGUUGCCUUGCUCGGGGAUGAGUAUAAGAAGUUUGGGCUUAUCAAGAAAAUAUAAUAAAUGACAACAAAAUUUUGUUUUGAUAAGUAUUUUGGCUUUUCAUUUAGUGUUUGGUAUUUACAUUGAAUCUGACGAAUCAGGAUUCGCACCAUAGGAUCCUAUUCAGAGGAAGUAAUCCCAAGGACUUUUUCAUACUCGAGAUUCAAAGUUGAGACCUUUGAUAUAGCGAGGAGUGAUCCAGUGAUCCCAUAAAUUCACCGCACCAUAUUCUUUGAUGGUACAUGAACCCAUGAAGAAACUUUAUUAUGCGUGGAGAAGUUAUUUUCAUAAUAUUGCCUACUGAUUUUGUGAAACUUUAUUUAUUAAAUUAGUGACACAUAGUUUGCCUUAUGAUGCUUCACAAUUGGAAAUAACUAUUGAUUAUAGUGCUUUGUGAUUGAGUGUUUUCGCAAACUUUGUUAGUUUUUUCUUAUUCAAUAAUAUUUUACUAAUAAUUAUACAUAAUUAUGAAAGGUGAAUAAGUUCAGUAUUAGAAUGUGUGUGUUCUUUGUAUAGGUUGUGUUGAUUUCUUCUAAAUAUAUCAUCUUCGUUUUUUUUUUUGGUAAGAUUCUUCUAAAUAUAUCAUUUUGAUUCUCACUUUUGUUUAAUGUUCAUACUUUUAAAUUUUCAAAUAUUAAAGUAUUUUUGAGAAUGUUCUUCUAACUCAGGAGUCGAUUACUGACAUUAAAAAGAGGGGAAAGCAAAGAGGGGAAAGCCUUAUAAUGUAGUUUUGAAACUUGACGUGGCUAAAACCUAUGACAGGGUAUCUUGAUUCUUCUUGAUCAAGGUAUUAAGGAAAAUGGGCUGCUCUAAUUCAAUGGUUAAUAUUAUUUGUAGACUGCUAUCUAAUAACUAUUAUUCUGUCUUACUGAAUGGCCAUUUUGUGAGGUUUUUUCAUUCUACAAGAGUGAAAAAAGGCGACCCUCUAUCCCUUGCACUAUUUAUUUUAUCAGCUGAGGUACUGAUAAGAGAUUUUAAUCAGGAUUUUAAAGGUUCGACUUUUAUUGAUUAUGACAUGCCUAAGUGGAGCCCUGAGUUGAAUCAUCUUGCAUAUGUUGAUAAUACUAUUAUUUUUACAUCCUUAUAUUCAAUUAAGAAGAUAAUGCAUGUUUUGAAGGAAUAUGAAUUGAAAUCUGGUCAAAAGAUUAUUAUGGACAAAAACUUCUACUAUAUGCACCAGAGUACUUUAACAAGUGUGGUGAUGCAGGUCAAACAAGCUACUGAAUGAGCAGAGGAUAUUUUUCUUUAAAGUAUCUUGGCUGCCCAUUAUCCUAUUCUAAGAGGAACAAAGAGAAUUAUUCUAAACUGAUUGAAAAAGUUCAAAACAAGCUUCAGAAAUAGAAAGGCAAGUUACUAUCUUUUGGAAGAAAAGAUGUUCAUAUAAAAAGUGUUCUUUAGAGUAUCCCUAUUUAUAUUAUAUCAUCAGUGGUUACACCUAAAAUUAUUUUUAAAGAGUUGCAAAGAAUAUUUGCAAAAUUCUUCUGGCAGACUAAGAAGACGGAAGAAACAAACAUUCGGUUACUUGAAACAAAUUGUCAUUGCCCAAACAGGAAGGAGGGUUAGGAUUUAGAUCCCUUAUAGAGGUUGCUAAGGAAAUACAUGCAAAAUUAUGGUGAAGGUUAAGAACUCAGAAUAACUUGUGGACAAAUUUUAUGUGGAACAAGAAUUGUAAGAAACAGUUACCUACAGUGGUGCAGCGAAGAAGAGGAUCCCAAGUGUGGAAGGCCAUGCUUGAAAACAAAGAUAAGCUUAAGGAAUUCAUAUGGUAGAAGCCUAGGGAUGGAACAUCUACUAUGUGGUUUGAUAAUUGGACUAACGUUAAUUCUUUAUUCAAACAACAGUCUCAAGUUAAACAUGUGACCUAUUGUUUGAUAUUGCAAAUUUUCUAAAUGAAGAGUGGUGGAAUUAUGAUUCCAUGAGGGCUGAAGUGCCAGGACAUGUAGUUGAUCAUGUGAAAGAAUAUAUGGAUAUGGUAUAUUAUAAAGACAAUAUGGAUAAAUCAUGGUGGACUAUAAAUUACAAUGACAGAUUUUCUACAAAAAGUGCUUGAAAAGUACUAAGACAUAAAGAAGAAGAGAAUGAGGAUCUUAAAGAAAUAUGGAUUAAAGGGUUUCCAUUUAAAUUCUGUUUCUUAUCAUGUAGAAUUUGGUAAGGUAUGAUUCUAACUGUUGCUUUAAUGCAUAGCUGGAAUGAUGAAGUCUCUGAGGACAGUGUUUGCUGUGAUACCCCAGAAGAGAAAUAAUCUCACAUAUUUUUCUUAGAGGGGAAAUUGUUAUUAAGGUGUGGGAUCAUCACUGUGAAGUUGCAAAGAUAGGAGAGCAAAUAUUAAAUUUAAAACAAAGUGUCAGAAUAUGGAGAAAGCAAAGUGAGAAUUAUAGAGUAACAACUGUGUAUAAAGUGGUGCCAAUUGUUAUUCUAUGAUUUUUAUGGAAAAGAAGGAAUAUUAUUAGGCAUGAAGAAACCUAUACUAUUAGGAAGAUUUUUUGGGAUAUUAAUGCUAUUCUUGUGAAAUUUAAAAAAUUCAGAUUUUAUCUUUAUGUUUUAGGAAGAGAUUGGGUCAGAAUAAUGGAUGAAUUACGAUCAGUCAAAAUUUCUACUACUUUUAAGAUGGUUACAUGGAAUUCUCCUAAGACUGAUUGGCUAAAAUAAAACAUAGAUGGUGCAUCAAAAUAAAAUUUGGGCCUUAGUUAUAUUGUAUUUUGUAUAAGGGAUCAACAUGACAAUCUCUUGGUGGCUCAAGGCAAUAGAAUUAAAGAUACCAUAAGUUUAGAGGCAUAAGCACUAGCUACCAGGGAGUGUCUAAAAUAUUACAAAAGGGAGUCUAUAAAUCAUCUUGUAUUGGAAAGUGGCUCUUGGACCAUGGCACAGAUACUGAACACUCAAUGGGAGGUCCCUUGUAAUUUGACAAUGAUGGUUAAAUCCAUCAGGGCAUUGAUGGAAAAUAUGUCAGUUAGAGUGAUAUAUUCCCUUAAGAAAGAACACUCUAGCUGACUUUCUGACUAACCUAGUGUUUACUUGUGUAGGGGACUUUCAAUAUAAUAAAGUGAAACAAUUGCCAGGAAAAGGAAGAGCUAUAUUUACAUUAGACAAAGCUUGAUUUCAAACAUCAGAAGCAUUGUGCAGGAAAUUAAAUUCAACAGUAGUUACAAGUAGUAAUUCAAAGACAGGAUCAACAGAAACAGAAUCAUCAAAGUAGGAACAUGAAUCAAAAUUAAUCAUGAUGAAAAUAGUGUUGAAGGCAAGAUAAGAGGAAGGAAGGAAGAAGAACCUGAUACCAAUAAGUUUCAUACUACAACUGGGUAGAGGAAAAGGGAGGAAAUCCAAGUGUAACCUACAAACUAAGCAUAAUUAGAGGUGUAAAUAGUUUAUGAAAUAUAUAUUAGAAAUUGACUAUAGAGAUAAACCGAUUGUUAGAAAUGAAUUCUCUUGAAUACAUAACCUACAUCCAAUGAGAUUCUGAGAUGUCAAAGGUCAUUGUAUUCAAACAGUUGAAAAAUUAAAUCUAAACAUGCAAUCCCUAGAUAUAUAUAUAUAUAUAUAUAUAUAGCAAUAAUCCAAAACAUUGAAUAAUAGACCUUAAUCCUCUUUAAAUUAAUUGAUAGUAAGGUAGUGGUAGUAGCUUCUAUUGAAGUCCAAUCCACUAACUAAAGAUUAAACAAAAGGAAGCUUAAGGACUUAGCUUUAAAGAUGAAGACGGUAAUGAUGCGGUCAACGAUAACUUUAAUUGAAGUUCUAAUGAAAGUGAAGUGGAAGAGCAAUCAACAGACCUGAUUUCCUAGUUUGACUUACUGAUUGCGUAUCUUGUCCGUUGUUUGUUGAUUUUGGAUCCGGGUCAGGCCAAUUUCGAGCUUGAUCUAUCUCAUUGCAGCAGAAUUUGAUAUUUUUUUUUAUAUAAUAUGGGCUUUAGCCCAAUUUAGUUUUAAAAAAGUAGUUCAUAAAUUCAAUAUCUUUUAUUUUCAAUUAUUUUUAAAAACAGUAGUUCAUAAAUUCAAUAAGAUCUUUCAUGUUUAUACUUUUCAGUUCAAAUAUUUAAGGAAAGGAAACCAUUAGUUCAAAUUCAAUAAGAUAUUUCAUGCUUUUUAUUUAUAUUAUUUAAAUAUAAGAAAAAAAUUAGUUCCUAAAUCAAUUAAAUUUUUCAUGCUAAUUAGAUUUUAAAAUAUCCAUAUACUAGCAAGAAAUUAAUUCAUAAAAUCAACAACGUUCUUCAUUUUACAUUUUUUUGAUAUUCAAAUAUAAAAAGAAAUAGUUUGUAAAUUAUAUUACUCCAUCCGUCUCAUAUUAGUAGAGAACAUUUUAUUUUACACAUGAAUAAGAAAUCAUAAAUAAGAAAGUAGUUUUAUUAAUUCACCACUUAUUUAAAAAAAAAAAAUUUACAAACAAGUGUGAGCACUUUCAACAAGAAAUAAUUGCAAGGGUAGUAUGAAAGAAAAUUAAUUAAUACUUUCUGAUUUAGUAAAGGAACCAACUAAUAUUGGACAACUAUUUUUAGUAAGAUGACCAACUAAUAUGGGAUGUAUGGAGUAGAUUUUUCAUUAUCGUGCGAAGAGUGAUUAAAUUUACUAGUAUGUCCAUAAAAACAAACAGAUUCUCGAGAAGCAAGAAUAAGGCAAAAUCAAAGACUACAACACUUUGAAUUUUUCAUCCACAAAACUACAACACUUUGAAUUUUUCAUCUACAAGUGUAUAUAUACCUAAGAUAAAACAACGAGCUACUGCGGGAGUUGUAAUUUUUCAUGAACCACCAGUUUAAUGUUCAUUAUUCCCAAUUCUGCCUGCAUCCGAUAUCAUAAGUCAUAUCAUUUUUACUUUUUCAAGAAAACUAAUUUUUUUAUAGCAUUUCCUUGUGCUAUAUUUCUGAAGGACUCAUAAACAUCCAUAAUGUUGUUGUUAUUGUUUGCUAUUAAAUUACAAUCGUUAGAUGCUACAACUAAGCUAUUAUUAUAAGAAAGGAAAGAAAAUAUUUGCUUAUUGCUCUCAACCUUUCAAUUAGUUAAAGUAAUGAUAACUGAAAGUUUUUAAAAAUUUGUUUCCAUUGUUAUAUUUAUGAAAAGGAAAUUAUCUUUUUAAGGCCAAAUGAUUAAUUCUUAAAGCACAUUCAUUUUUAAACAGUCUUUAUGACCUCAAAGCGAAUUGAAGCUGGAAGUCUUAGUAGAUAUCUGAGAGCUUUACUUUAUAUACAUCUAGAUAAGCUUUAACAAAAAGGUGUUAUAGCUCAUCGAAAUGCAUCAGAGAAAUUUUAUUUGAUACUCUGUUGUACCUUAUAAUUUUGGCGUGUAAUAUAUGUAAGUUUUUUUUCAAAGACAAAAGUGGUUGUUCCAUUUUUCAUAAUUCUGUUGUUACUACUUUGGUGAUGCUACUAAAUAUAGUAUGUUACAUGAUCCUAAAUACUUAUACUUAUAUUGUUGAACCGUAAAAAUUCUAUGUUUGUUUGUUGCAAGAAGCUUGGCACCAUCGGUUCACUUGGUCCUAUGUAAAAUUUACAUGUGGAAUAUGAUAUUCAAAGAGGUGCGGUCAUAAAAAAAUUCUAUUCAUCUGUGUACAUACCAGAUAAAUAUUUCAU
rnacentral:lncRNA from 1 species